CUUCUCUGCACCACACCAAGCUACGGAUCACAACAUCCUCUGACUCAAUCAACUUGGCUAAAUGGCAGAUUCGUUGCCUCCUAACUCCUAAUAUGACACUGGUUUGAGAGAUGACGCAAAGUGGAGUUGCUCUGAUUGAAGAACGGUUUCUUAUUUCUUUUGAAGGAGACGUAGAAACAUCACCUGUACAGUAAAAAAAGAAUCUGUUUGUUAUGCUUAAACUACGACAGGUGAUCAGCGGAUGAACUAAUUGGAAAUUUGAUCGCUGCCUAGCAAGAAAGAUUGUACCUACUUCGAUAAACAUCUAAUCUGAUGUAAUUAUUUUCCAGCAUUAAUAAAACCAAGCCUAUAAAUGUUUACAAAUCUUUUAAUGUGAUUUAAUAUGUUACAACUGUACUAA
rnacentral:lncRNA from 1 species